GGCUAAAUGAUCUCCUUCUUAUCGACAAACCUCUAUAAGGCGCAUCUUGUGUCAUGGUCACGGGCUUUGCACUUUGACUCGUGAUAUUCUCCCCCACCCAUUCUCAUAACGCCAUCGUUGUGACUUUCGAAUGGAACUGACUUGAUUCACCUUGGAACUCUCUCGUUGGCUUGGUUUCCUCCAAACUUGUCUUGUAAUUGGGCUGUCCUCUCUUUCGAAACCUUUGCCUCGGCUUCCGUCACCUCUUAACUUGAAUCGUUACACUCGUUGGUACAUCUCGUUGGCAAGAAGUCUCCGCUCUAA
rnacentral:lncRNA from 1 species